rnacentral:lncRNA from 1 species
CUUCCUAAUAAAAUUGACACUGGAAAUGGGGAAUGUGUCAAAAAAGACAACAACCCAACUUCAGAGCAGACAAUAGCCGAAGGUCAUCAAUGUUUCUCAUAAGCUAUAAGCUACAUUGUACAUGUAUAGGAUCACUACUUUUGGCAUAAUUAUGGAAUAAAUGUAAGUUGUACAUGUUUGACAUUUUUGAAUGGCUUAUUUCAUCUGACAAUGACACCAU